rnacentral:tRNA from 1 species
CAGGGAGACAACAAAAUGUUAAAUAUUAUAAUUUUGUCACCUUAGGUCGAUCGGUAUCUCACGUUCUUAAUUUAUUAAGAAUUUCAAUUCCUAAGUUUUUCUAGGUCACACCCAUUAUUUUUCCUGGGCCAUUAGCUCAGGUGGUUAGAGCGCACCCCUGAUAAGGGUGAGGUCCCUGGUUCAAGUCCAGGAUGGCCCAUAUCUCUAUGUUGGGGGUAUAGCUCAGUUGGUAGAGCGCCUGCUUUGCAAGCAGGAUGUCAGCGGUUCGAGUCCGCUUACCUCCACUGAUUACCACCUCUUCCAUAACCGGUAGAAAGGAAAAGUUUUGAGUUGUGAUCAAAUUCUGAAAGAAUCUAGCUUCCUAAUGAAAUCAUUAAGAUGCUGGACUCAUUGAAUUAAUUUCAUUGUUUUCAGAGAACCUUGACAACUGCAUAGAUUAUUUUUAAAGACAAUAAGCAUCUUUAAUGAUGCAGAUUUAUUAUUUGUGCGAAUGCAUUAAUAACAAUUCUAUUGAGCUGAUGCUUCAAUUUUUGAAGUUAUU